AACCGGAUUAGAUACCCUGGUAGUCCACGCCGUAAACGUUGGGCGCUAAGUGUGGGGGGUUUUCCAUGCCCUCCGUGCCGCAGCUAACGCAUUAAGCGCCCCGCCUGGGGAGUACGGUCGCAAGACUAAAACUCAAAGGAAUUGAAGGGGGCCCGCACAAGCGGCGGAGCAUGUUGCUUAAUUCGAUGCGACGCGAAGAACCUUACCUGGGUUUGACAUGUGUGGAAAUCCGGCAGAGAUGUCGGGUCCGUAAGGGCCACACACAGGUGGUACAUGGCUGUCGUCAGCUCGUGUCGUGAGAUGUUGGGUUAAGUCCCGCAACGAGCGCAACCCUCGUUCCAUGUUGCCAGCACGUAAUGGUGGGGACUCAUGGGAGACUGCCGGGGUCAACUCGGAGGAAGGUGGGGACGACGUCAAGUCUUCAUGCCCCUUAUGUCCAGGGCUGCAAACAUGCUACAAUGGUCGGUACAAAGGGCUGCUAAACCGCAAGGUGGAGCGAAUCCCAAAAAGCCGGCCUCAGUUCGGAUCGGGGUCUGCAACUCGACCCCGUGAAGUUGGAGUCGCUAGUAAUCGCAGAUCAGCAACGCUGCGGUGAAUACGUUCCCGGGCCUUGUACACCCCGCCCGUCAACUCAUGAAAGUUGGCAAUGCCCGAAGCCAGUGGCCCAACCCUUUGGGAGGGAGCUGUCUAAGGCAGGGCUGGCGAUUAGGACUAAGUCGUAACAAAGGUUACAUC
rnacentral:rRNA from 1 species